rnacentral:rRNA from 1 species
AACGAACGCUGGCGGCAGGCCUAACACAUGCAAGUCGAGCGCGCCCUUCGGGGUGAGCGGCGGACGGGUUAGUAACGCGUGGGAAUAUGCCCAGAUCUGCGGAAUAGCCUCUGGAAACGGAGAGUAAUACCGCAUACGCCCUUCGGGGGAAAGAUUUAUCGGAUUUGGAUUAGCCCGCGUUGGAUUAGGUAGUUGGUGGGGUAAUGGCCUACCAAGCCGACGAUCCAUAGCUGGUUUGAGAGGAUGAUCAGCAACACUGGGACUGAGACACGGCCCAGACUCCUACGGGAGGCAGCAGUGGGGAAUCUUAGACAAUGGGGGAAACCCUGAUCUAGCCAUGCCGCGUGAGUGACGAAGGCCCUAGGGUCGUAAAGCUCUUUCAGCUGUGAAGAUAAUGACGGUAGCAGCAGAAGAAACCCCGGCUAACUCCGUG